GAUGAACGCUGGCGGCGUGCUUAACACAUGCAAGUCGAACGGAAAGGCCCUGCUUUUGUGGGGUGCUCGAGUGGCGAACGGGUGAGUAACACGUGAGUAACCUGCCCUUGACUUUGGGAUAACUUCAGGAAACUGGGGCUAAUAUCGGAUAGGAGCUCCUGCUGCAUGGUGGGGGUUGGAAAGUUUCGGCGGUUGGGGAUGGACUCGCGGCUUAUCAGCUUGUUGGUGGGGUAGUGGCUUACCAAGGCUUUGACGGGUAGCCGGCCUGGGAGGGUGACCGGCCACAUGGGGACUGAGAUACGGACCAGACUCCUACGGGAGGCAGCAGGCGGGAGUAUUGCACAAUGGGCGGAAGCCUGAUGCGGCAACGCCGCGUGCGGGAUGACGGCCUUCGGGUUGUGAACCGCUUUCGCCUGUGACGAAGCGUGAGUGACGGUAAUGAGUAAAGAAGCACCGGCUAACUACGUG
rnacentral:rRNA from 1 species